rnacentral:lncRNA from 1 species
UUUUUUUUUUUGGCUUUUUGCCUUUCCUAGGGCCGCUCCCAUGGCAUAUGGAUGUUCCGAGGCUAGGGGUCCAAUCGGAGCUGUAGAUGCCAGCCUACACCAGAGCCACAGCAACAGCAGAUCCAAGCUGUGUCUGCAACCUACACCACAGCUCACCACAACGCCAGAUUCUUAGCCCACUUAGCGAGGCCAGGGAUCAAACCCACAACCUCAGGGUUCCUAGUUGGAUUCGUUAACCACUGAGCCACGACGGGAACUCCCUGAGUUCCUUUUUUAAAAAAGGGUGCAUACACACAUAAGCCAGUUUUGUUUGUUUCAGCAAAAGAUUCCCUCUCUGGGCAUCUGGAUACCUAGUUUCAGGUACUAGUUUUUAUUGAGAACCUUCAUUUCCUCNNNNNNNNNNNNNNNNNNNNNNNNNNNNNNNNNNNNAUGAAAGUAUAAAUACUGUUUUGCAUUGAGUGCCAUUUAACUUAGAUUGUAUUUAACUUACUAUCGUAGGAGUAAUUUUGUGCAAGUCUUUAAGCUGGUAAAUCAUUUUCUCUGUUGCUUUCUUGGUGGGAGCUUUCUUCUGUGUUUAUUUGUAGUCAAGCCAUUCUUAGGCUCUGUUCCCCAGCUAAAAUAGCUUGAGGUGAAAGAAAUCUUCACCUCAACACUUCCUAUAAUGUAGUUAUACCACUUUGUAACAGCUGAAUGAACUGAAGUUUAAAGAAAGAAGUUCAUUAGAACAUAGAAGUCAGUAGAUAUAUUUGGUGGAGACAUCUCUAUUCCAGUUUGGCCAGUGAGGAUGGGUUGUAGGGGGAAAUUCAGAAGAGUCAGAUUCCUUUUAAGAAAACUAAUCAGAAUACCACUUUUUGCUUGCUUCAGCAUACUUGUAAUUUGUCAGUUCUUCAGUCGGCAGCUCUUUGACUGUUACUUGUUCUUUUGAUGGACAGCAUAUUCAAAUACAUGUAAUUACCAUGCCUGACCUCAAGAAGAAGACCAGCUGAUUUUAUACCUAGAAAAAGAUGAAUAGCCACAAUCUGUAAGGAGUAAUUCCCAAACUAGCAACAGAGUAAGCAGCAGCCAGAGCUGGAAGGAAUAGCCCAGGCUGAAGUUAAGGAAGGCUUCCUACGAUUUACACCUCCCAGGAAAGAGAACUUGUUGUCUGACUCUCCAUUUCCUCUGCAUCUGAGGUGCCACACCUUAUUAGCUCUGGCUCAGCCUUUGUUGAUUGUGUUUCUCCCACUAAAAUGUAAUCUGGUUGUUCCAUUCUUGUUUGUAUUCCCAAAUUUUAGGACAAGACCUGAUACCUUGCUUAUGGUCAAGUAAGUAUUUUUUGAAUGAAUGAAUGAAUGGGUAAAUGAAACAAAGACUGUUACAUAUAAGUCUCCUCUUCUUGACUAGCCGUGACUUUGACUGUAUUUCAAAGUCUGAGGCUUCUUCAGCCCUCUAUGUUUUGGACCAAAGGCUCUCUGAAACCAAAGAAGAAAAAUGCCCUGGUCUGGUGGCUACAAACAAGAAGCACCCUGGCUUCUUUGUCUUCCAGCAGUUAGGGAUGUUUUUGCCUCUGAAAAAACUGAAGCCUAGUUAUGGUCCUUUUCUUAUAAUAAUAAUUAUUUUGUUGUUGCGACUGAGCUGGAUGCUUAUACAGAUUUCUUUGGGUGUUGCCUUUCUUUUAAGCCUAAUCUAUAUCUUUUCCAGAAGUGUUCAUCCUAAUUAUAAUUCUUACAUGAAAAGGCAACACAUGUGUCUGCCACCAAAUGUGACUAGUAGAUGCUUUUGAAAUACUUACUUACACCCUGCCCUAUAGCUAUGCACAUCUCUCUCCUCCAUGAGAUUUUAAACUUCUUGUAAUGUUUUAUUUACUUUUGUAUCCUCAUUGCUUAGCAAAGGGUGGCAUAGGCAGACCCUUCACAAAUGGAUCCUCACUAAGUGUUCAGUGGGAAUUGAUUUCAAUACUCUUGGCAUCUUUCUUAUCCAUCAGGGAGAGCCUAUAAUUUGAACUAUUAAAAACCAAAGGUUUUGGUUUGGGCCCAGAUGACCUUAAACUGCUUUUUCUGAGUCAUUAACAAUAAACUCAGUGCCUCUUUGAGGCUUUUUCUGUUGUGUGAGGCCACUUGUCUUCUCUGAGAUGCAUCACCUUCAUCUAAAGAUUGAAGAGAUUAUUUAAUUGUGGUUUGCAAAGAAGGAACAGGUAGACUGUCGGCCAUAUUUUGUGCUAUUUAGGAUGGAAAAUAAGUUAGGAAGCUCUUUUCACUCUGCUUUUGGUGAUGCUAUUUGGAUAAGCUUUUCAGGAACAUUAAUCACCUAGACUCAAGCCUUAUGCAGUUUGGACCUUCACAUUCUUCUGUAUGUGGAAUCAAUAAGAGUUGAUUGAUAUAUAUGAUGUGAGAAGUUUUACAUUGUUCUUGGAAUAUGUCAUCACUAGUGCUGUAGUGAUGCUUAACUCCUGCUGGCCAAUGGGAAUGCUAGAAGAGUGAAGGAUCUAGACUGAGAGUUUAUUAAGGACAAAAUAUUGUAUUGAAUGUUAAAAUUUUAUAUAAAAACAAAUAUAUUAUUUUGAAAAAUGAGCAUGUCUAAAAGAAUUAUGACCCGCUUUGAAGGAGGUAAUUACAGGAAAUAAUUGAGUAUGGAUUGGGACUGACCUAUCAGAAUGAAUGUAAGCAUCAUGGUGGCCAAAGGUGACUUCUCAAUGAUUAGGCCUUAUCAGAGUUGUAGUGUAUUAUCAUUAUAGCUCUACGUAAUGGGAUUGCAUAUGAUGACUGAAAAACUUGAAUAAGUUGUGUUUGGGUUUGAAAGACAAGAAAAACUUUCUAUCAGUAGGUUUAUGGGGAUCUAUUUUCUAUGUUUCCCUUAGACACCAAGAGGUAUUCCUUUGUGGCUGUUGACUCAAGAGGAAUUCCUUUGUGGCUGUUGGGUGAACCUGAAGGUCAAAUGGUGUUUCCUUGUUGUUUUUUGGUUUAUUUAUUUAUUAAUUUAUUGGCCUCCCACUGCACAUGGAGUUCCCAGACUAGGGAUCAGAUCUAAGCCAUAGCCACAAACUAUGCCGCAUCUGUGGCAACACCAGAUCCUUAAACCACUUCCGGGGCUGAGGAUUGAACCCACAUCUCAGUGCUCCCAAGACACUGCUGAUCCCAUUGCACCACAGCAGAGCUCCCAUUUUAUUGGUUUAAAUAAGAAACUUAAGGAGGGUUGGAUAAUGUGUCUUUGUGGAAGAUAAGGUCUUUUGACUCUUGUCCGAUUGUUUUUCGUGCUUGUGAAUAUGGUGUUAGAUGUUAUAUUUUAGCUUUUACUUUAUAUUUUCUGUUUAUUGCCAUUCCUGAACCAAGACCUGAGUUGAGCAGAUAGUUAGCAAAGACAGAUGACGUAACGCUAAUACUUUCUAACACUGAAGCUGCACUUAAAAUAUGUAAUUUUAAGUGUAUUUAAUCCUUAGAGCAAUUCAGUGAGGUAGGUACAUUUAUUAUCACUUUUUCAGAUAAGGAAACUGAUACAGCAGAGAUUAAAUAACUUGCUGUUAUUUAAUCUCUUGUAAUCUAUGCUCCUAACUGCUCUUAUGUGUACUACCUUUUCAGAUCUUAUUUUGGCUUUACAAUGACUUAAAUAGAUUAGUAGAAGGCUAGUAGUGAAGCCAUUCCAAAGAGCUUAAUUGUAUGGACUUGAGAAUAUAACCAAUGAUGAUGAAGAGGUUCCACUCCAUCUGUAAUGUUUUAUUGUUCACAUGAUAGUCACAUAUGCAAAAGUGGUCUUUAUGUGGUAUUUAGGAUAAGUUUAUGGUUUAAGAACAGUUAUACAGAAAGAGACUCACAACAUGGAGAACAAAGUUAUAAUUACCAAAAGGGAAAAGGGCAGGAGGAAAGAUAAAUUAGGAGGUUGGGAUUAACCUGUACACACUGCUGUGUAUAAAACAGAUAACCAACAAGGACCUACUGUACAGCACAGGGAACAAUACUCAAUACUUUGUAAUAAACUGAAUCACUGUGCUAUAUACCUGAAACUAACACAAUACUAUAGAUCAAGUAUACUUCAGUAAAAAAAAUAUAUUUUUUAAGAGUAGUUAUAGUUUUAAGUUUAAGAAUAGUGUUUUAUGGUGGUGUUUAGGAUAAGUUUGAGGAAGUGUUGAUUAUGUUAUACUGAUUUAUGGUAUAUAUCUAGGGUCAUAUGGGCAUAUGGAAAUAAAAGAAACAUCUAUUAAAUAAUUUGUGGUGGCUUCUGAUCGAGAUGUUUACAUAAAUCCUAAAGACUUGGCUUUCUGGUGCAUGUAGAUGAGAGUAUACUUAAAUAUUCAUUUGGUGAAGUUAUUCCUCUUUGAUUAAGAGGUCGUCUUGGAAAAAAUUAGACUAUACUAAAGCCUUUAUUCCAUGAGGGAAGCUUUGUCAUAGCCACUAUUGAUUCUCCCAUAAAAAUCAUCUGAACUUAUUAUUCAGGUUAAUGCAUAAAUUUCAAAGGAUUUAUCACAGCUAAGAAUCAGUGUAAGAAUUUUCCAUAAGAGGAAGAGGAAAAUGGAUUGUCAGGCAUACUCAACUGGUAUCAGACAGCUAAGAAUCAGUGUAAGAAUUUUCCAUAGGAGGAAGAAAAAAUGGAUUGUCAGGCAUACUCAACUGGUCUUGUUUUAGAAUCACACCAAAAAAGGACGUUGUUAGGGCUUGUGCCAGGUAGCUAGGAGACAUCUUUGUGAUAUGAAUGGAGAUCAGCAUUGUUUGGGGCCAUAACUUCUGCUAGAACGACUUUCCUACUUAUCCAUUAACAGGAAGGUUCUAAAGCCUUCAGCAUGUAAUAAUUCACUUGAUAAAAUCCAAGUUUUUGAUAAACAAAUCAUAUUAAAACCCUCAAAGUUAGUUAACAGCUGAUAAAUCUUGCUUUUACUUCCUUCUCCCAUCACAUUCAUCAGUAGUGGUGAUACACUGACAGUUACGAGUGCUGUUACGUGCCAGGCACCUGCUAAGUGCUGCUGUGUGGAGAGGCGUGAAACAUGGACUCUUUUGUUUUAUAGAAGGUGGGGUUUUUUGAUUCUACAACUGUUUCUUGAGUAAGAGUGAAGCUUGGAAAGCGAAGUUUUUUAGAGUAGGGAGGAUGGUGAGGAAGGCGUCUGUUCUGGAGGAGCCACGAGGCCACUGAGGUUGAUGGUGCUCUGAGCCUGGGGAGAGUAGAUGAGAUUCUCCUUAGUGUGAGAAUAAUCAUAGGAAGAGAUUUAGAAAGGUAGAUGCUAAUGACUAAGGGAGGGAUAGUCUUCAUUCAUAGAAGUGGGUGGUCUGUGAGUCUGUCUGUCAUCAGCAGCCCAUCGGGUGGGAGCUUGAAAAAUAGAACUGUAGUAUUUGGUGACUGUACCAUGAGUUUGGAGAGUGGUGAGGACUGAGCCCUGUAUCUUCUUUAGAACUUUCUGAAGAGUUUUGUAUGAUGCUAACUCUCAGCAUCAUGUAAUACAAGCUGUGGGCUCUGUUGUCAAGGGAUUCCACAUUUCCUAGCCAGUGGACAUCAAUAGGUGUUCUGUCUACUUUAUUAACUAGCUGUAUGUCUAAUAGUAUAGAUACAUCUUUCUAUUUGUCUGAGGAAAGAAAAACUACAUAUAAGAAAUUUCAAAUAGGAGUUCUCAUUGUGGCUCAGCAGGUUAAGAAGCCAACAUAGUGUCUGUGAGGAUGCUGGUUUGAUCCCUGGCCUCAAUCAGUGAGUUGAAGAUCUGGCAUUGCCACAAGCUGCAGCCUAGGUCGCAGAUGCAGCUUGGAUCUGGUGUGGCUAUGACUGUGGUGAGGGACUGCAGCUGCAGCUCCAAUUUGACCCCUGGCCCCUCUGGAACUUCCAUAUGUCAUUGUUGUGGCCCUAAAAAGAAAAAAAA